CCAAGCAUCUUAUAUGAUAACAGGGAGUUGAACUUUGAUAGUGUGGUGACUAAAGGGUUAUAUGCAUGUAUUAAUUGAUUGGCGACAUCAAAAGCAGAGGAAGAUAGGGUGCUUCAACAGUUGAAUGUGUACACAAACGCCGCAGGCGACUUCUUUGGUACCGAGGCUGCGCAACGGCAAAGGAAGAUUGUACAUCCCGCUACUUGGUGGUCUAUGUUUGGGAAAGACACUAGGCUUUUGCAAAAGUUUGCAAUCAAAAUCUUAAGUUUGACAUGUAGCGCUUCCGGUUGUGAGCGCAAUUGGAGUGUCUUUGAGCAGAUUCAUACAAAAAAGAGAAAUAGGCUCGAGCAUAAGAGGAUGCAAGAUUUGGUUUAUGUGAAAUAUAACCAAAAAUUGCAUGAUAGGAACAAGCUUAGUGCAACCGAUGAAUUUGAUCCUAUUAUUCUCGAUGAUAUUGAUGAGUGCAAUGAGUGGCUAGUUGGGGAGUUGGAUGA